AAAUUACCUUUCCGUUUGGAAUUACUUGUCUCGAAAAUGGAUGUAUCUAGAACUAAAAUACGUCUAGAUACAUUCAUUUCCAUGACAAGUAAUUCCGAACGGAGGGAGUAGAUC
rnacentral:pre_miRNA from 1 species